GUGUUAUUGCAAGCAAUACAAAACUUAGCAAAUAAUAUUCAUAAUAUCCUGAAAAAAGUUUUAAAAUAGUAGUAGAGCUACUAUUAAUAGAUACUAUCUGCUUGAUUUACAAGUUUACUAUUUGCGAUGCCAGCAUUGCAGGUGGCAGCUUUAUGGCAGCACAUGGGUAAAGCCACCACCUGAGAUAUCGGCAUCCCGUGUGGGUGCCACUUCACGUUUGGGCUGCUACACUUCAGGCCUAUCUACCUCUUUGCUAAUGGCCCAGGAAAAUCAGUAGAAGAUAAUUCAAGUGCUUGGGCCCCCGCAAUCUACAUGGGAGAUCCAGGAGAAGCUCCUGGCUUCAGCCUGACCUAGCGCUGGCUGUUGUGGCCAUCUGGGGAGUGAAGCAACAGAUGGAAGAUCCCCUUUUCUCUGUCUCUCCCUAUCUCUCUGUAUCUCUGCCUUUGAAAAUAGGAAAAUAGCUCUCUAGAAUAAUCUGUAAAUACUUAUCUAAUUACUGAAUCCAUUGUUGUUAAGAACACUCUAUGGUAAGUGACAUUUGAAAAAGAAAGUUAAAUAUUUUUAUGUAGUAUAUUAAAAAAAACUACUUAACUGUGCUAUGGGAAGAAAACUAUUUCAUGUUUCUUUUGGUUUUCUUAAUUUAAUUAUUAUAUUUUCCUAGGGUGAUUUCCUGGAUAUCCUGAUACAAAAUAAAUUUACUCUGUCAAAAUACAUGUAGGGGCAAAAGGAAGACCUUUCUCUCUGUCUCUCUCUCUCUCACUGUCCACCCUGCAUGUCCAAAAAAAAAAAAAAAAACAACAAAACAAAAAAAACACAAAAUGCAUGUAGGGAUCUAUUAUAAAAUAUUAACACAAUUGGAAAAUGGCAAGAGUGGAAACUGGUUUUUAUGUAUCAGUUCUGACAGAAAGGAUAAACACAAUAUUAAUUUUCUUGUUUCCCCAUUGCAGGGAUCAUCAAUGUAUCUUAGAACAGUGGUUGUCAGAAAGAUGAAAUAAUUUUAACUAAAGAAUGAUUACUUUAUUUAAAAUUAAUUAUCCAUGUUGAUGCUCAAUAACAAAAAAUAGAUAUGUGUGGAUAUAUAUGCACAUAUAAAAUCUGGACAAAAAUGAAUGCUAUCUCUUUUAUUCUGUUUUCAACUAUGUUAAGCAGACAUUUAUUUUAAAAUAAAAAGAUUUAUUUUAUUUAUUUGAAAGAGUUACAGAGAGAGGUAGAGACAGAGAGAGACAGAGGUCUUCCAUCUGCUGGUUCACUCUCCAAAUGGCUGUAAUUGCUGGAGCUGAGCCAACCUGAAGCUAGGAGCCAGCAGCUUCUUCUGGGUCUCCCAUGCGGGUGCAGCGGUCCAAAGACUUGGACCAUCUUCUGCUUUCCUCGGCACAUUAACAGGGAGCUGGAUGAGAAUUGGAGCAGCCAGGUCUUGAGCAGAUGCCCAUGUGGAUACCAGUGCUGUAGGCCAGGGCUUUAACCCACUGCACGACCAUGCUGACCCCCAAGUGGACCUUUAUUUUCUUUCAUACUACACUAGUGUUAAAAACAGCUUAUUGAAGUAAAAAGAUUGUUUAGCAAAUAGAUUGCAUGAUAGGGAUCUCUUUUUUAUUUCAAUGAACUCUAGAUGUAUAUAUUAUUUCUUUUUAAAAAAGAUUUAUUUAUUUAAUUGAAAGUAAGAAUUGGAGAGGGAGAGGGAGAGAGGGAGAGACGGAGAGAAAGAGAGAGGGAGAGACAUAUUCCAUCUGCUGGUUUACUCUUCAAAUGCCUAUAAUGGCCAGAGCUGAGCUAGGCUGAAGUCAGGGGUCAGGAGCUUUAUCUGGAUCUCCCAUGUGGGUACAUGGACCCAAGCACUUGGGCCAUCUUCUGCUGCUUUCCCAGGUACAUUAACAGGGAACUGGGUUGGAACUAAAGAAUCCAGGACUCGAUCUGGUGCUGAUAUGGGUUAUCUGCACUGUAGGUGGUACUGUAACCCACUGCACCACAGCGCUGGGCCCCACACACAUAUAUAUUUUAAUAUGUAUUAAACUGAUUACCUUAUUGUGACUUGAACUCUAGCUCAAUAUUACUCAAACGUGGGCCACAGAUUGGUGCUGGUCUUCUUUAAUAUAAAUGUAAAAUUGAGACUAGGCAUUUAGGAAUCUUUGUUCCAAUGUAACCAAGAAUAUUAAAAUUCUCCUAGUAAUUUAUUUUAAUUGUGGAUUCAAAAAUAUUGUCUAUUGGCAGUUUGAAACUAAAGCACUUUAUUACUUUCGUGUAGUUUGAGAAGUACUAUUCUUUCCAUUUAUAUACUUUCUAGUUCCUAGCACUUAAAAAUAUUUUUAAAUAUUACUUAAAAGUAUUUUUAUGAAGCUCAAGACUUCCCAGAUUAAAUAAUUAGUCAAUUUUCCUAAGUUUCUACCAGUUUGUUUAUAAGGGGUAUGAAAAGUAAGGAUAGAGUAAUGAAGGGAAAGGAGAGACUUUAGGACCAAAGAGAUAUGAAUUCAAAUGACCCAUUCUACUUGCUGAGCAGUUUGGGUAGUUUAUUUACAUUUGCUGAGCCUAUGUUUUCUUAAUUGUAAAAUGGAGUCUUUUGUGUACAUCAGAGUGUGGUUGUGCCAGUAUAUUUUAGGUUGCAGUGCAUUUUGACUUCCCUUUUUCUUGUCUUUUCUCUUCAGGUAAGUUGAAUGAAAAUAUUAUGGAUAAAUGUUUUAUAAUGUACUAUACUUGUAUGUACUCAUAAAACAAACCCAUGAUGGAUAAAUUUGACUACUAGCAAUUUGUUUACUCUAUUUGAUUAGUAUAUGUUGGAUUUCACAUAAUUAAAUACUUAACAAAUCACAACUAUCUAUAAAAUCAUAGCUAUUUAACAUACAAAUUGAUUUCCUGAUUUUUAUUACAACAAUAUACUUUACUCAUUUGAAGGAAUAUUCUCAAAUGUCUGUGACAUUGCCUAUAAUUAGAAUCAGUGAAGAUGACAGACAAUAGGUGUUAAAACCUCUCAUUUAUACUUUAAAUUAACUGACUGGAUAAUUGGAUAAAUAUGAUCUAGACAUGCUUUUGAUUAUCAAAAUAGAAAAUAGUCACUUUAAAUAUACUAUGGUAGUGCUAUUAGCAUUAAGAAAUUGCUAAUAAAAUCAUGUAUGUGUGCAAAAUGAAAUUUUGAUUGUCUUUUAUGAUUCCUGCCCUAGAAAAGACAGUCACUACAUCAACAGUUAUAGGUGAAAAAAAAAUUGAUCAUUUUAGAAAGUGGCUUCAUGUUCCACAUGCAUUUCAGUGUCAGAUUUUAAAAACAACCAUGUCUUUUUGACCUAAAUAGCUAGAUUGUUUCUUUGGAGACGUGGACAUGAAAGGAUGGCUCUGGAUAAUAAAACUGUGACAUUGAACUAGGUUAAAAUGAACUUUCAAUAUUGCAGAAAUCUAGAUUUGUUGAUUCUGGUAGUUGUAGUGAUAACAAUAUCAAUAGUAUUUAAAACAAAUUCUAGUUGUAGAUUCUUGCAUUUCUAUAUUAGUAAUAGAGUUCUAUUUUGUGAGGGUUUUUUUUUUUUUUUUUUUUUUUUUUUUUUUUUUGGACAGGCAGAGUUUGUGAGAGAGAGAGAGAGAGACAGAGAGAAAGGUCUUCCUUCCUUUGGUUCACCCCCCAAUGGCCCCUACUGCCAGCGUCCUGCUCCGAUCCGAAGCUAGGAGCCAGGUGCUUCCCCCUGGUCUCCCAUGAGGGUGCAGGGCCCAAGCACUUGGGCCAUCCUCCACUGUCUUCCCGGGCCACAGCAGAGAGCUGGACUGGAAGAGGAGCAACUGGGACAGAAUCGGGGGCCCCAACCGGGACUAGAACCCGGGGUGCUGGUGCUGCAUGCGGAGGAUUAGCCUAGUGAACCACGGCGCUGGCCUAUUUCUUGAAUUGACAGUAACUGUUAUCUAAAGAUGAAAGCCCAAAGAUUCUGUGAGUCUCUUCCUUAGAAUUUUAUGUCAAUUAACAUAGACAAUGAACCUGAUACUGUUAUUCAAAUUGAUAUAUAAUAAUUAUACACUUAUGGUAUACAACAUUAUACCUUUCCUCAAUAGAAUGUAUUUCUUAAAACUGGUUAGAAAAUUUCUCAAAUUUUGAAAUGGAUUGUUAAAUAUUUAUUUUGAUUCAAGGAGGAAGAUUAAUGGACUAAGUGAAGGCACCAUUUCAGCUCUGGUUUUUUGUGAAAUAUAUCUCUAGUUAAAACAUUCUGUUGAAGGUAAAGUAGCUGCCCUCAUUACCUCUCUUGUUUUACUUAUUCUAAUCAUAACUGAGAUACUCAAGAAUGUUGACGUAAUUCAUGGUCUAGCCCUUUUGUGGUGUUUUGUCUUCCCAAACUUUAUAUAGCAUCCAGGUUACUUGUAGGAAAGACAACUUUGUUCUGUUGUACUGUCUUCUAAAUGGUAACAUGAGUUACAUUUUAGUGGAUAGCUUUUAUCUGUAUCUUCGUUUUACAAAAUGAUAGGUCUAAUGAAUUAAAUUUAUAAGCCCAUAAUAACAAAGAAAGAUAUCCAUAGUUGAAAUAUAAAAUAAGUUCCCCCAAAUAAGACAAAUGUUCUUCCUCCUGGAAGUGAUGAUGAUGAGUCUGUGACUGAGUGAAAUGCAAAGACUGAAAUCAUUCCACAGCUAGAUGUGUUGUGAGGAAACUAUAUUGUCUUAGGAGUGUUUAUAUUUUGUGUGAGUAACAACAAAUGAUGAAAUAGUAGAGUUGGUUUUGUUCAUGGGCAAUUUCCAAUCUACUUGUAGAAGUAUUACAAAUGGACCUUAAAAAAAUUGUUGUCAGUGCUUGUGAUCUUGCAAUCUGUAUGUACAAUUGACUUUCAGGAAUGUUGGGAUCCGUAUAUGCUACAUUCUUCUAAAAAUUUUUGAGCUCAGUGUGGCUUAACUUAGAAGCAUAUAGAGAAUAAGUAGAACUAAAAAAACUAGUGUUCCAUCUGAGAAGGAGAACAUGAGGAUUCUGAAAGAAGCAGGAAUAAGUAUAUAAUAUGACAAAAGCCAUAUCUAGUUCAUCUUCAGGUUGUAAGGGUUGAGGAAAAAAAAAAGAGGUGUUAUCGGAAUGUGUGGUAUUGUUACAAACACCAUCACUAAAAACACACACUGUAUAUUGUUAAAAACCACCAACACUAAAAACAACACACUGGUCUCAAAUUUGAGAUAAUUUUCUCCAAAAACCUUAAAAACUGUUAAUAUGCCAUAAAUAGCCAGGUAAAGAGAUUUACCUUUUUUAGUGAUUGUCUUCAGAAAACAGCAACUCAGGAACAUAAGAGAACCCACAGAGCUUCUUUUGAUGCUAAGCAUAUUUUUGGAACUCAAGACAUAUUAACACAUUUUCAGAACCUUACCUAGCAAGAGAUACGCACAUUGCUCUGAAGUUGUACUUGUGAUCCAAGAGUGGCAGUAAUAUAUUUGUAGUAGGCUGUUUAUCUGUACUUCAAGCUCUUUUGAAAACCAUUCUCUGACAUUUUUCUGCCAAUAUUAUGGAAAACUUUCUCAGUGCACUCAUAAAAAUAGUUGUUCUUUGGCCCUACAGAAAGUCAGCAACAACAACAACCACAACAACAACAACAAAAUGCCCUGAAAAUCCCACAAAACUGUUGCAAUGCCUUCUGUGUUUUGACAAAUCCAUUUUGACUCUGAACCGCUUCCACUUACUGGUAGUCUUUGCUUUAAUUGUGGUUUUGUCUUUAGAAUGCACUGGCAAAACCUUAUUUUAUUUUGUCUCCUGUUACAAUGCUUUGAAGAAAUGCUUCAAGAUGUUGGUCUCCCUUGUUGAAGAUUUCCAUGUAAAGGUCUGUUCUUGUCUGUAGCCCAUCUGAAUGCAAUGGUUUUGGUAGACAGCUUAUUGAACAGAGAUUUUAUUCAAUUUUAAUUUUUCAGUCAGAAUUAUAUAAGCAGAACCAAUUGAGAUGUAUAUGAUAUUGGCUGUUCUGCUGUUAAUCAUUGGUCCUCUUCAAUGAGAGCAUGAACAAGACACAUUUUUCCCCUCCCAAAUUGAUGUGGAUGAUCUGCAACUGCAAGCUUCCUUUUCAACAUCAUCUUGUCCCUUAAAUUCAGUUAUCCAUUUGCAAUCUACUGAUUUCAUUGAGGGAACUGUCCAAGUAAACUUUUCAUAAUACAUUUCAUCAUUCUUCCUUCUAAGCUCUGAUGUUUGUUUUUGCUUCAAUGUUAGCAGACUUCAUGGUGCUCCAAUAGGGACUUUUUUCAUAAUGGCAUCUUACUUUUUUUUGGUGCCUCAACUAGAUUCUGUUCAAAUAUGUUGUAAUAAGUUAGUAUGAGUUUACUUUGUUGUGAAAAGGUUUUGAAAUCCAUCUAUAAUUUUUUCAUAGCAUGCAUAUUCCAGGAACAACUUGAAGAUUUGCUGUAUUUUGAUUUUGAUAGAGAAUUUAAUUAAAAAAGUAGCAAAGGUAUGUUAGCAAGGGGAGUAAAGACAGAGGGAAAUGAAAUGUGUAUAUAUAUGUAUACACACACACGCAUUAAUGAUAUUUGAGAUAUGUGACCAGGGGAUGACCAAAUGAGGUAUAAAUGGUGAAAAGCACAGCACAGUAUUGGAUAGGGAGUAAUGAAACCUGGAGGAGCAAAAAAAUACAAAGUGGAGAAAAGUUUACUGAGGGUCACAUGGUUAUAGUUAAGAACAAUGGCUUCACUCCAAAUAUAUGGCUUUGAAAACUUGACUCCACCUUUUAUAUGCUUGAGUGACAUGGGUAAUUUUCAAGGAGUUCUUUUUCAGAUGAAAUGAAUACAUGUAUAAUUUAUGGGAAGACAUCUUGUAAAUUAUCUACCCACUGGUUAUCAUUGUCAUUCUAUUUCUGCUGUCUUAUUUAUUCAACAAAUAUGUAAGCUACAACCAUUGUUGUUUGCUCUCCCUACAUUAUUUGUAUUUUCUUUCUUCAAUAAAUUCCAACUAAAACCAAGCUUAAGAUGUUAGGACUUAACCUCGUUAAUUUUGAUAAUUCCUUUGCUUUUGGUCAUCUUCAUGAGACUACAAAAGAAGAACCCACUUUGUUCACCUCUAAUUUUAAAAUGAAAAACAAGUCCAAAGAAGUUAAUAGAAAAGCUGCAUUGUAACUUAGGCGUCAUAUUUCCUUUGCUCCCCCUGUUCACUAUACAUCUAUUGAAAUAAUAUCUGCUUCUUCAUUUUUAAUUUAAGUAUGUGACUUAAAAAUAUAACAUCUCUGCCAUCUGCUAGAUGAUGGCAGAAGUAGACAAAAACUGAAUUUGAUUGUCAUUGGAAUAUUAUUUCUAAUAGUCUCUUGACUCUCAAUUUGCAUUAGUUUAAAUGUUAGUUUAUAAGCUUUUUCUUAAUCAUCCAUUUCCCUUUAUCUAUGUAUUAUAAUAACUAGGUGAGCAUUUAAUGGUUAAUUUAAAAAAUUUAUUUAUUAAUAUAAAGAGAACAGAUUUCAUGUAUUUCUUUUUUUUUUUUUUUCUUGACAGGCAGAGUGGACGGUGAGAGAGAGAGAGACAGAGAGAAAGGUCUUCCUUUACCAUUGGUUCACCCUCCAAUGGUCGCCGUGGCCAGCGUACUGCGGCCGGCGCACUGUGCUGAUCCGAAGGCAGGAGCCAGGUGCUUCUCCUGGUCUCCCAUGGGGUGUAGGGCCCAAGCACUUGGGCCAUCCUCCACUGCCUUCCAGGGCCACAGCAGAGAGCUAGCCUGGAAGAGGGGCAACUGGGACAGAAUCUGGCACCCCGACUGGGACUAGAACCCAGUAUGCCAGUGCUGCAGGCGGAGGAUUAGCCUAUUGAGCCACGGUGCCGGCCUCAGGUAUUUUUUAAGUACAGUUCUAAGAAUAUAACCAUAGUGGGGCUGGCACUGUGGUGUAGUGGGUAAAGCCACCGCCUGCAGUGACAGCAUCCCUCCUGGGCACCGGUUCGAGUCCUGGUUGCUCUACUUCUGAUUCAGCUCUCUGCUAUAGCCUGGGAAAGCAGUAGAAGAUGGCCCAAGUCCUUGGGCCCCUGCACCCACAUGGGAGACCUGGAAGAAGCUCCUUGCUCCUGGCUUUGGAUUGGCUCAGCUCCAGCUGUUGCAGCUAAUUGUGGAGUGAACCAGCGGAUGGAAGACUUGUCUCUCUAUCUCUCUCUCUGUCUCCCCUCCCUCUGUGUAACUCUGACUUUCAAAUAAAUAAAUAAAUCUUUAAAAAAAAGAAUAUAACCAUACUUCCCUCCCUCUCACUUUCCCUUCUGAAUGCCCCUCAUUCUUUCCUUUUUUUUCCUUUAAUUUUUUGCAAAGACAUAAUUUUAAUACACUAUGUAAUCACAGGCUUAAUUCACCACUAAUCGUAAUGCUUCACAAGUAAAUGUAGGAAGACCACAGUUGCAGAGGAGUAUAAAAAGAGGCUAAAAUGGCAUUCAUAUUACAAGACAUCCAUUUUUUUGUAUUUUAUAUUCUAUAUUAUCUGCCAACUAUCAAAUAAAACAUAAUUUGUCAUUUGGAAGCUGGUUUAUUUCACUAAGCAUAAUGAAUUCCAUUUGCAUCCAUUUUGCUAAAAAAAUAGGAUUUCUUUCUUUCUUAUGGCUGAGUAGUAUUGUAUAGUGUAUAUAUUUUCUUUAUCCAGUUAUCACUUGAUGGAUGUCUGGUUUGAUUCCAUAUCUUAGCUAUUAUGAAUUGAUCUGCAGUAAAUAUUGGGGUAAAGUUAACUAUUUCAUAUGCUGAUUUCAUUUCCUCUUUGUAAAUUCCCAGGAUUGGGAUGGCUUUAUCACGUGGUAGAACUAUUAGAUUUCUGUGGAAUCUCCAUAAAGUCUUCAACAUGGUUUUACUAGUUUACAUUCCUACCAAUAGUGUGUUAGGGUACCUUUUCUCCCACAUCCUUGCCAGAAUUUAUUUAUUUUUUUUUAUUUUUGGAUGAUAGCCACUCUAACUGUGGUGAGGAGAUACCUCAAUGUGGUUUUUAUUUGUAGUUCCUUGUUGGCUAGUAAACCUGAGCAUUUUUUCAUUUUUGGUUGGUCAUUUGUAUUUCAUCCUUUGAAAAUGCUUGUUCAUGUCCUUUGUCCAUUUCUUAACUGUGUUUUUUGUUUUGCUAUUGUUGCAUUCCUUGAGCUCUUUAAAGGUCCUGGACAUUAAUCCUUUAUCAGUUACAUAAUUUGCAAAUAUUUUCUCCCAUUCUGUUGGUUGCCUCUUCACUUUGUUGAGUGUUUCUGUUGCAGUACAGGAGCUUCUUAGCUUGCUGCAAUUCCAUUUGUCUGUUUUUUUUCUUUGAUUGCCUGUGCUUUUGGGGUCUUUUCCAAGAAGUCUUUUCUUAUGUUGAUGUCUUGCACAGUUUCCCCAAAGUCCUCCAGUAUUUGUUGGUAUCAGGUCAUAGAUUUAGAUCCUUGAUCCAUCUUGAGUUGAUUUUUGUAUAAUGUAUAAAUUAAUGGUUCUUGUUUCAUACUUCUACAAGCGUAGGUCCAAUUUUCCCAGAACUGUUUGGUGAAGAUAUUGUCCUUACUCCAGAAAUUGAUUUUAGCUCCUUUGUCAAAGAUAAGUUCAUUCUAGACGCAUGGAUUAAUUUCUGGGGUUUUGAUUCUCUUUUGUUUGUUGACAUGUCUAUUUUUGUGCCAGUACUAGGCUGUUUUGAUUAUAACUGCCCUGUAGUAUGUUUUGAAAUCUGAUAUUCUGAAGCUUCAAGCUUUGUUUUUGUUAUUUAGGAUUGUUUUAGCUAUUCAGGGUCUCUUGUGUUUUCAUAUGAAUUGUACCAUGUUUUCAUCUAUAUCUAAGAAGAAUGGCUUUUUUAAAAAAAUGGGAGUGCAUUGAAUCUGUAAAUUGCUUUGGGUAUUAUGGAUAUCAUGGUGAUAUUGAUUCUUCCAGUCCAAGAACAUGAAAGAUUUUUUCAUUUUUUGUGUCUCCUUCUAUUUCCUUCUUUAAUGUUUUGUAGUUUUCAUUGUUAGAGACCUUUCACAUCCUUGGUUACAUUUAUUCCAGUAUAUUUAAUUUUUUAUAGCUAUUGUGAAUGGAAUUAAUUUCACAUGUUCUUUCUUAGCCAUGGUAUUUGGGUAUACAGAGGCUAUUGACUUUUAUGUGUUAAUUUUAUAUCCUGCAAUUUCACCAAACUUUCUUAUGUGUUCCAAUAGUCUCUUAGUGGAGUAUUUUGGUUUCCCUAUUUAUAUAGGAUCAUGUCAUCUGCAAAUAGGAAUAGUUUGACUCACUCCUUUCCAAUAUAUAUCCCUUUGAUUGCUUUUUCUUGCCUAAUAGCUCUGGCUAAACCUUCCAGAACUAUAUUGCAUAGGAAUGGUGAGGUUAGCAUCCUUGCCUGGUUCCAGAUCUUAGUGGAAAUGCUUCCAGCUUCUCCCCAUUGAAUAUGAUGCUGGCUGUGAUUUAUCAUAAAUUUCCUUAAUUUUGCUGAAGAAUGUUUCUUCUGUAUUCAAUUUACUUAAGACUUUUUAUCAUGAAAGGAUGUUAUAUUUUAUCAAAUACUUCUCUGAAUCUGUUGAGGAAAAUAUAUGGCUUUUAUUUUUCAGUGUGUUAAUGUAUUGUAACAAAUUUUUGAUUUGCAUAUGUUGUGCUAUCCAUGCGUAUCAGGGAUAAAUCCCACUUGAUCCAGGUGAAUGAUCUUUCUGAUGUGUUGUUGGAUUCUAUUAGCUAGUUUUUUGUUAAGGAUUUUUACAGCCAUGUUCCUCAAUUAUGUUGGUCUAUAGUUCUCUUUGUUUUAUCUUUUUCUGGUUUGGGAAUUCAGGUAAUACUGGCCUCAUAGAAAGAGUUUAGGAGGAUUCCCUCCCUUUAAAUAGUUUUGAAUAGUUAGUUCAUCUUUAAAGAUUUGGUAGAUUUCAGCUGUGAAACCAUCUAGUAUUGGACUUUUCUUUUUGGGAGGAUCCUUAUUAUUUAUUCAGUCUCCCUAUUGGUUAUUGGUCUAUUUAGGUUUUCUAUGUCUUUAUGGAUCAAUUUUGGUAGAUUUUAUGUGCCUUGAAACCUAUCCAUUUCUUAUAGAUUUUUCCAAUUUGUUGGCAUAUACCUGUUUGUAAUAAUUACAAAUAAUAAUGAUUCUUUUUUAUUCCUGUCAUAUCUCUUGUAACAUCUCCUUUUAUCAUCUCUGAUUUUAUUAAUUUAAGUCUUCUUCCCAACCCCUUUUUUUGGUUAGUUGCACCAGGGGUGCAUCAGUUUUGUUAUUAAAAAAACAAACAAACAGCUUUUCAUUUCAUUGAUCUUUCAAAUUUUUUGUUUCAGUUGUGUUUAUUUCUUGUAUAAUUUUAAUUAUUUGUUUCCUUCUACUAAUUUUGUGUUUAGUUUGUUCUUGUUUUCUAGGUCCUGGAGAUGCAUUGUUAGAUCAUCUAACAAUCAUCCCGUGUUAGUUUAUUUGAUGUCUUUCCAACUUCUUGAUGUAGGCACUGAUUUCUACAAACUUCCUCUUAAUACUCUUUCUGAUAUAUCUCAAAAGUUUUGAUAUGUUGUGUUGUCAUUAUCAUGUGUUUCUAGGAAUUUUUGAUUUCCCUUUUGAUUUCUUCUAUGAACUACUUUUCAUUCAGUAGCAUAGUGUUCAAAUAGAUCUAAUUGAUAUCUACAGAACACUUUAAUCCCACAGCUGCAGAAUGAAAGUUAUUUUUAUCAGUGCAUGGAACUUUCUCUAGGAUAGAGCAUAUGCUAGGCCAUAAAGCAAGUCUUAAGAAUUUCAGAAAAAUUGAAAUCAUAUCAUGUGUCUUUUCUGACCAUAAUGGAAUGAAGCUGGAAGUUAACUAUUUUACUGCUUAAACAAAUACAUGUGAGUACCUACUAUUUUACAAAUAAAAACAAAAUAAAAAAAAAGAAUUCAAAAGGAUUCUAUUAGAAUGGAACCUUGAAAUAUUCAGUUACCCAGAGAGAGGUUUCAAUCUAAGAAAUCAAUGUAUAUGUAGAAAUAUACAAAUUUUUGUAGACUUAUAUUUCUACUUAAAAUAUAACCCUAAUACUGAAAAAGGAUAGGAAAAUAGCUUACUUGAUUUCAACGUAAUAAUUAAACAUUUUCAAUCACUCUUAGCUAAAUGAUUGGAUUUCAGGAUAAGAAAGAGUCAUAAUUUGAGACUUUCUGGGGUUACUGAUAUUCUCUCAUGCAUAGCUAAUCCUUGUCCAAUCACUCCCACUAGUUCAGCCUUGGAGGCAGUUUUUGUGUUCUACAUCUAGAACUGUUGACUGCUGACAGACAAGUAUUGUGUACAGAGCAUAUCACUGCAUUAGAGUAAGCAGGAAAUUGUUCUAUCUCAGGAAAGAUUUGCAUGGCAAUUACCCUUCCCUUAUUUCUCUAUGUUUAAUAUUUAGACAGGGUGAUUAAGCUUAAAUUUAAAAUUUCUCAGUGUCUUUGCAUGUAUCAAAAAUGGGAUGGCAAUUCUGCCAUAUGAAACAGAACCAAUUAAUCACCUUUUGAACUGAGUCAUGCAGCUAAUUGAAUGAAACUGGCUGGGGACAUACACAAAAUAAUUAGUUUGUGCCUCUUAGGCUGUUAGUUUUGGGGUGUUAUAUCAUUUUUACCACGUAGAUUAUCAAUGCAAAAUAAUAUUUUCAGACUUUUUUCAUUAGGUAAGCCUAUUCAUGUGUAAAGUUUAAUACCUAAAAGCAAUUCAGAAAUUUUAUGGCCAAUGAAAUAAAUAUACUGUUCAUAAUCAGAAAAGCAUAUAAAGGGAAGGCAUUUAGCCUUGUAGUUAGGAUGCCAGUUAAGACAUCUUAUUCUCACAUUGGAGUCCCUGUGUUAGAUUUCUGGCUCUAGCUCCAGAUUCCAGUUCCUGCUAAUGCAGUCCUUGGAGGCAGCAAUGAUGGCUCAUGAAAUUGGGUUCCUGCCACCAGCAUAAAAAACUUGAAUUGAGUUCCUGAUUCCUAUCUUGGUCCUGGGGUCAGCUCCAGCUGUUUUGAGCAUUUGAGGAGUGAACCAGCAGAUGGAUGAUGUCUCUUUCUAUGCCCUUCUGCCUCCUCCUUUCUCAAAGAAAUGUUUAAAAACUCAAGAGCAUGUAAAAAUGAGAUUAAUAUAUGGCACAGUGAUAUAUAUAUAUAUAUAUACUUAUUCAUAUAGUGACCCCUAGGUAUUUAUAAAUUUCAUGAAAGUCUUUGAAAAAAAAUUGUGUUUGUGCCAAACAUGGACACAGACUUUCUCUUGCCAUUAUUUCCCAAGGCAUAUAGUAUAAGCAACUGUUUACAUAGCCUUUACAUUGUCAUAGGUGCUAUAGGUAGUCUAAUGAUAAAGUAUAUAGGAAGAUAUAUGUAAUGUAAUUUAUAUGAAACAGAAGACACUUUAGAAUUAAUAGAUUGUAGUAUCCACAGAGUGGUCCUGGAACCAAUCCCUGUGGAUAGUGAAGAAAAACACGAACAUAUAUCAUAUAUGUGUGUGUGUAUGUGUGUGUGUGUACGCACUAAGAUAUACAUCUGAGUGUAUGCUUCAAUUACCAAGAGACCAUGAGAAUGUUCUCUGGAAAUCUAGUAUCAUUCACCAAAAUGUAGCUCAAAGACAACCAACAGUGUCCUUAUAUAUGAUGAUCAGAGUAUUUUGGUAUAUGACUUUAAACUUAACCCUGGGGUGACUGUUCUAGUGGUUAAGACACUGCCUUGGGACACCUGCAUCUCAUAGAAGAAUGCCUGGUUCAAUCCUGACUCUGCUCCCAAAUCUAGUUUUCUGCUAAUGCACUGUGGGAGGCAGCAGGGGAUGGGUCACAUAGUUGAAUUCCCUGUCACUCUCGUAGGAGAACUGGAUGGAGUUCUCUGUUCUGUACUGUGGCUUAGCCUGGCCCUGAUUUUUGUAGAACUUUUGGAAGUGAACCUGCAGACCAGAGACAUCAGUCUCUUUGGUGCUCUGUUUCUGUCUUUUUCUCUCUCUGUGUCUCUUAAGUAGAUAAAGAAAUAGAUACGUAUCACCCUAUACAAGUUUUCCUGUCAAACACAUAACUAUAUUUUAAACAUUUUUCUGUUUUGGUUAUCUGGGAAAGCUGAUCUAUUAGCUUGUAAUAAAUGAUUGGCUACCAGAAUGAAUAUAGGUAAUAUACCUGCACUAUGCAAUGGAUCCAAAAUGAACAAGAUCAGUUCCUCUUGUUUAAGACACUGUGGAAAAUUUGUCCCUUUUUCCUAACCUAGUUGCCUGUUAAAUUUACUAGGAAACUUUGAGUCAUUUGAUUUUUCAUGUCUUCCUUAGAUAUAUCUCCAAGUUUUAAAAUUUUAGUCUGGAAAUUUAUAAUAGUCCACAUCUCCAAAUGGGUCUCUUUAGCCUCUGGCCAUUAAAUGCUUUAUCCUAUUCCUGAGAGAUCUUUCUCAGUACAAUAUGAUUAAUACUUCUGCUGCCUAAAGAAUCAAGUCUGAAGUUCUAGGUAAACCUAUAAGGUUUUUUAUAGGACUUUCUGCAUCCUGCUGCUCAAAAUUUAUUUUCUGAUAGGUGUACAGUUGAUUCCUUUUUUAUUGCCAUAUUGAGUUACUAUAUUUUCUUUAACAAAUAUCCUUUGUCAUGUGUGUGUACCCUCUCUGCUUGAAUGUCAUACUCCAGCACUCUUUAUCAAGUGUAUCUUACCCAUCCUCAAAGCCCAGACAAGAAGAAAAUUCUUACUGUUGUCUCUCCUUGUCACACUACUGCCAUGCUCCCUGAAGAAAAUGAAGUAUUUUCUUAGGUGCCUUCAUAUAGUACUAUCAAAAGAUGUUAUAGUUUGUUGUUGUGAGUUGUCUCUUCUGCUCAUACUCAUUUGCUUUCUGAAUUUUUUUUGUUUUCUAUUUAUAUGCUUAGCACAUGACUCUCUACAUGUUAAAUAGUGGAUCCCCAAUCAUAUUUAUUGAAAAUGAAUUGUGAAGACAAUGCCUUUGGGAACCAAAGCAGAAAAAAAAAAAAACAGUUGCUGAUUAUCAUAAAAUGGAAUUAUUUUGUGUGUACUUUAUAUGUCAUGAGUAGCAAUAUUAUUUUAUUUGAAUGAUAAAAAAUAUAAAAUGUAAUAAUGGAGUAUGUAUUUAGCUUAGCAUUUAAUGCACUGCUUAAGAUGUGUGCAACCCAUAUUGUGGCACCUCUGUUCAGUGCCUGGUCCCAACUCCAGGUUUCAGCUUCCUGUUAAUGCCAUGUCAGGGAGGCAGCAGUAAUAACUCCAGUAAUUGGGUUCCUAUCAACCUUGUGAGAUACCUGGAUUGAGUUUCUGGCUGUUAGAUUUGGCCUGGCCUUGGCUCUGCACAGUUUGAAAUGAAUCAGUGCAUAGGAUGUGUGUGUUGUGUUUUUGUUUCUAUGCCUCUCAAAUAGAAUUUUUUAAAUUAAAAAAAAAAACACAAUAGUAUAUGGGAGAGCUUUAUGGAAAAAUAGGUAACACUAAGUAUCCUUCUUUUUUUUAUUUUUUUGACAGGCAGAGUGGACAGUGAGAGAGAGAGAGACAGAGAGAAAGUUCUUCCUUUGCCGUUGGUUCACCCUCCAAUGGCCGCCUCGGCCAGCGCGCUGCGGCCGGCGCACCGCGGUGAUCUGAUGGCAGGAGCCAGGUACUUAUGCUGGUCUCCCAUGGGGUGCAGGGCCCAAGCACUUGGGCCAUCCUCCACUGCACUCCCUGGCCACAGCAGAGAGCUGGCCUGAAAGAGGGGCAACCGGGACAGAAUCCGGCGCCCCAACAGGGACUAGAACCCGGUGUGCCGGCGCUGCAAGGUGGAGGAUUAGCCUAGUGAGCCGCGGCUCAGGCCUUUUUUUUUUUUUUACUAAGUAUCCUUCUUUUAAAAAUCAUCCUUUUUAUUUCAGAUUAUUAGUACAAAUAUAAGAAUAAUGUGUUUGGGUUUCACAGUAGAUGCAAUUCUAGUCUAUAUUCUUUACUAGAAAGCUAUCUAAAUCAUCAUUUCAAAAACUUCUGGCCAAAGAAAAAUGAAUUCAAUGAGAAAAUUGGCAAAGUUGGUUAAAAAUUGUUAAAUGAAUUUUAAUGAGAUAUUAAAAAUAAAAUAUUUAGUGAUGAUUAAACCAAAUAUGCCAGUAGGCUGAUAGGUAGUGAUUUAAUGGUAUUAAUUCUGAAAGUAUCAUAAGAUAAUCAGCAGGAAAAAACCCAUUAAAUGAAGUAAAACAUCAUCAUCCUCUUAUAUAGCUUGGGUCUUUAUUUCUGAGAGGAUCUUCUGUAUGAUAACCUGUCAAGGGAUAUUUAACACAAUUUGGAGUGGUCAAGGUAGGAGGGUUUGGUAUUAUCUAAAAGAUGAUGCAGAUGGUUUGUAAAGAAAGAUUAAAGCACUGAACAUUAAUGUAGGAAAGAGGAUGGAAAUGUGAUAUAGUUGUAUGACUCUAAAAUACUAAAGAAUUUUGUUUGGGUUAUUCCUGCUUUAUGAUUUUUUAAAAAUUCUAAAAUAUUUGUAGCAAAAAGAAAAGAUGGCUAAUAGAUUUAUGAAAGAUUUACACACACGUUUUAAAGUGCUUAUUCUGUGAUGGAUCAAUAAAAGUUACUGAGGAUUUUUGAGAUGCUAUACCAUCUUGCCAUUUGAAGUUGGAAUGAUGAAGUUUACUACACAUUUCUGUGAAUCCUUUACAAUACCAAUAAGAGAAUGAAUACUAAGAUUGGAGUGUGGUUAUAAUAAAACUGUCAUGUAAAGUAAAAUAUGUAAAACACAGGGCAUUUAGCUUUAGGAGAGAAAAGUUUCAUUGCAAUCACUUUCGUUUUUCUACUUAACAGGAAAAGUAUAGUUUGCAUUUUCUUUGGCUAACACAUUGUAAAAUACACUGCCAAUAUUGCCACUAUAUUUUGUGGAUAGAUGUGUCUCUGUUUUCAUAUGUUUUGACAUAGUUUGAAAAAAUAUAUGUUGCCCCUAAAAGCUCUGCAAAAAUUGUGUUCCUUAAGUAUAAAUAACAGUAUACUUUCUGUUAUUUUAAUUAUGAGUUAGUUCUGUAUUCAAAAACUUCUAGCAGAAUAUUUGUUUCUUAACCUUCACAAUUAAUCAGUCUGGUACUCUUUGCUAAAGAGAAGAUAACUAAUGAAAGAGGCAUUGUGGUAUUUAUAAACAGCAUACUCAGUUUUUUUUUUAUACUUCAGACAAUCAGUUGAGAGUAUAAUUCUGUAAUAAUUAAUCAACUCUUACAGAUUUCAGGUUCUUCCACCUGUCACUUAAUCUCAUAUUCUACUUAUCCCAUCAGUUUUUGUACUCCAGAAAUAUUUCACGUUUAUUUAAGGCAUGUUGUAUUUCCUGACAACUGUAAUAUAGUUUUAUUAUAAUGAUUUUGAAAGUAAAAUAUAUGUGUGCAGGUUAUUUUUAAUGUAUAUUUCAUUAUCAUUUUUAUAGCAGUUUAAUCUUAUGUUAGAUACCUUUUAUAGUUUUUUUUUAGAUUUCUUUUUAUUUAUUUGAAAGAAUUACAGAGAGAGGUAGAGCCAGAGAGAGAGAGAGAGAGAGGUCUUCCAUUCCACUGGUUCAUUCCCCAAAUGACCGCAACUGCCAGAGCAGAGCUGAUCCAAAGCCAGGAGCCAGGAGCUUCCUCCAGAUCUCCCACACAGAUGCAGGGGCCCAAGCAGUUGGGCUGUCUUUUAUUGCUUUUCCAGGCCACUUAAGAGAGCUGAAUUGGAAGAGGAGCAGCCAGGACUUGAACCGGUGCCCAUAUGGGAUGCUGGCACCGUCCCCUAUAGCUAUUUCUUGAAAUUACAUUUUGUUUUGCUGGAAAACUUUACAAUAAAAAGCAUCAGGCUUGGGGUAAACAUUUGGUGUGGCAGUUAAGUAAUAGCCUGGUAUUCAUGCAUCCCGUAUUGGAGUUCCUAUUUCAAGUCCUAGCUACACUGCUUCCCACCCAGCUUUGUCCUAAUGUGUAUCCCAGGAGGCAGCAGUUUAUGGUUCAACCACUUGAGUCUCUGCUCUCCAUAUUGGGUCCCCAGAUGGAGAUCCAGAUUCCUGGCUUCAGAAUAGCCCAGCUCUGGCAAUUGCAGACAUUUGAGGAGUAAACCAGCAGAUGGAAGAUUCUGUCCCUCCCUCCCUCCCUCCCUCUCUCUUUCCAUCCCCACUCCAUUUCAAAUAAAAUGAGACAGCAAUAAAGCAAGCACCAGUUAUAUAAUGUAUUAAUUGAUAAACCAUUAUUCCCUUAGGAGAAAAAUAUUUAUGCUUGUUUUUCCCUGAAUUUUUUUUCUCCAGUUCUCUUUCAAGGGUGACAUAAACUUGAAAUUUGAAACCAAAGAUUAGAAUAAAGGUGACUUGGGGAGAACAUAUGAGGUCAAGGAUGAUGUUUGAUUCUUUUCCUGCAGGGUACCCAGCACUGAGCGUGAUGCUUUGAACAUGGCAAGUGCUGAAUACAUACUUGUGACGUAUUUAUUUAUUUGGAAGUCAGAAUCUCUCCCUCUCUCUCUUCCCCUCCCUCUCCCUCUCCUCCUCCCUCUCCUUCCCCCUUUCUCUCUCUCUCUCUCACACACACACACACGCAUGCACACACACACACACAGAGAGAGAGAGAGAGAGAGAGAGAGAGAGAGAGAGAAAGGGAAAUCUUCCAUCUUUCCAUCUACAGAUUCACUCCCUAAAUUGCUGCAGUGACUGGGGUUGGGAGAUCAGGCUGAAACCAGGAGCCUAGAACUCCAUCUGGUUUCCCACGUGUAUAGCAGGGACCCACAUACUUGGGGCCAUCUUCUGCUUUCCCAGGUGCAUUAACAGGAAGCCGGAUUUGAUGUGGAGCAGCCAGGACUAGAACUGCCACCCAUAUGGGAUGCCAGUGUGGUAGGCGGUGGCUUAAUACACUGUGCUACAAUACCAGGUCCCACAUGUUACAUUUUCAACAAUGUUUUGUUUCAUUCUUGAUUUACUAUUACACAAUACAAUAGAAUCUAGUCUUUCCUAUUGCCUUGCAACUAAGAUAUCUAAAAUUUAUUUCCCUGCCAGUAAAGUAAAAAAUAAAUUGAGAAUGUAUCUAAGGUUUAAUUUUUUUCUCUUUACUAUGAUUUAUCCAUAUUCCUUCUUUUCCCCCAUUUUUGGUUGGAAAUAAGCAGAAAAUUAGUUAACAAGAAAAAUUUUUUUUUUGUUUCAAGCUUGCCAUGUUUCAUAGACUAAAUAGGCAAGUGUGGCAGGUGACCAUCAUAUUGGACAAUACAGAUUAAAAUAUUUUCAUCACACAGAAAGUUCUGUUGGAUGGCUUGAGACUAGCGGCAGUUGCCUUCGAUCAAGACUGAGAAAAUUGAAAGGAGAUUGGUACAAAUUUAUCACAGUAUGUUUGUGAUGUCUGGGAAUAUUGUAUGGAUAAGCAGCUCAAUAUGCAAGUCUAUAACUUAGAGUAAAGGCCUGAGAUAAAGAUUUAGGAAUGAUCAGAACAUGUGUGAUAGAUAAAAUUAAGAGAAAAUGUGAAAUCACCUAGUGAGAUAAUGGAAAGAAUAAGAAGUGAUUGAAGCUUGAAGCAACGCAUCCUGGGAAGCAUCUGGGUGUUGGAGAAUAACCCCUUGAUGGUGAUCAUAACGUUGAAAAUGUGGGAGAAGAAGGAGAAGAUAAGAUAUUGCACACAAAGUUCCUUUCUUUUGUAAGAAUUGAAAAAAGUAAUGAGACUUUCAGCAUCAAAUACAGUAGCAAUAGGGCAGGUGUUUUGAGCAUGUCUGUUGAGAUGCCCACAUUUCACAUUGGAGUACCUUAGUUUGAUUUCCCAGUCCAGCUCCUAAUCCAGUUUCUGGUCAGUUAAAACACUAGGAGAAAGCAGUAAAGACUCAAGUAUGCCUGGGUUCCUGCCACUCAUAUGGGAAACCUUGAUUGAUUUCCUGGCUGGUGAUUUUGACCUUGACCCAGAACUGGCUGUUGGUGGCAUUUUUUUGAGUAAAAUGAGAUGAGAGAACUCUUUCUCUAUCUUGUCACCACUUAAGUAAAUAAAUAAAAUUAGUAAAAUACAGAAGCCAAGUCCAUUAAAUUAUGAAUUAACCCCCAGAGGAGGGAGAAUCAAGAGUUUUUUCCUAGCCAGUUGGACUUUAUUAACUUUGCAUUUGCCAUGCUAUGUGAAUAUUACAUGUUUUGAUACUAAUACGUCUCGUUGUUUUAGAAUGUAUAUCACAUAUUUUUCUCUCUGAGAUAUACCCUGAGAUGAUGAUCUUUUGCCCUAAAGUUUUGUAUUACAAAAAAAGAAGAAAAAUAAAAAAGAGAAUUGCAGUAUCAAAACAGGGCUUAACAAAACUUGAAUCCAACUGCUUCAUUUUGUUGACAUGGAAACAGACCCAGAGAGUGAGAAUGAGUUACUAAAGUUAUAAAGUUACUUGGUGUGCUCUCCACAAUACCUGAUUACAGUACCCCUAGUUGCUGCUAUUACUAGGAAUGGAAUUUAGUGUUUAUAAAUUGUGCUUAUAGCUACUAGAAAGGGACAUUUUAAUUAAUGAAGAGUUCUCAAUAAAUACUCAUGUGAAAUAUUAGAUAGUAUCUUAAGUAUCUUAGAGUCAAAUUAAAUAUUUUUAUUGCAGAAACAAUGUUUACCUUCCUACAGUUGCUCAAAUAUCAAAAGUUUUCAUGUUUUUAUUCAAAUUCUGACAAUGUCUGUUAUUCAUGAAUAAUUUUUUUCUUACAAAUAUAUCAGUGCAGAGGGGCAAAAAAUUCCUUAGAUAAUAGCCACCAUUUUCAGUUGACUUUUUCAUGCUAAGCAUUCAUUGAAUCUUUCAGCCUGACAGCAUGUUUUGGGGCAUGUGAAAGAGAAAUCAUCUUAGUCUGUCUUCUCAGUGGAAAAGAAGACAAAUUGUCAGCUUCCCAGUGCCCCACCACCGUAAGUUAUAGAUAUUUAGGAAGAUGAUAUUGUUUCUGUUGACAUAUAGAAUCUAAACUCAUGUACACAAUGAUUCUGGAAAGAAGUCAUAAAAUAUUUUCUCUAAUGCUCUGUCUGGAUGUCAGAGUUGUCUGAUGUGUUAAUAACAUUAGUUUAAUUAUAUUGUCUUUCUACAUAUCUAUUUCUUGAUUUCUUUUGGCAAUGUUUAUACUAUAUAAAAUAUUUUUAAACUUUAAUUUUCAAAAAGCCCUAAUAUAAUAUGAAUACAUUAAUAAGCAUACCCAUUUUGUUAUAUUUAGAGGUUACAAAUUACUAUAAAUCUCACAAGAAUGGAAAUUAUUUUAAUAUCAAAUAUGUUUGACAUCAGAGAAAUAAAUAUAUUUAAAUGAGCACCUUAUCUUUAAAAAUACACUGAACUUUAGAAGUACAAUUUUAUUCAUAUGAAAUUUGGUUUUGGAAAUUCUCCUGCUCGUUUUACCAAUAAGUGCAAUCAGUCAAUAUGGACCUGUAUGUAUUGUUGCAUAUCACAAUUAUUGAUUGCAAAAGGAGUUUAUACUGCUUUUAUAUUCCUAUGUCCCUUGUUUAUCUUCUUUUGUCUCAUGGACUCAAGUGGGGACAAAUCCUCUUUCUUUUCAAAAUAGACCUUUAGAGUUCGUCUGAGAGUGGGAGGGAAAAGAAGGUGUAGAAACUAGCAGAGUGUUAGGCUUGAUACUUUGUAUCACCAUGGAACACUUAUUUUAGUCACAGUAGUCCUAACCACAACCCUAUAGGUAAGUAGAUACAAUUCCUGUUUCCUAGUUGAAGAUAUUUAGCUCUGAGUCAUUAAAUUAUUUGCCCCAAGCAACACAGCUAGAAAAAUCAGAGAAUUUUAGCAUAACUUUUAUCCCAGUUUAGUUUGUUUGUUCAAUAAGAAAAAUGAACAAAUAUAGCAGAUAAUUAAAUUUUUCUAAUACAAAGUAUGUGAUUUUUUUAGAAAUGUUAGUAAUGUUGCCUUUCAUAUUUUUCUGAAUAAAAAUAAUUGUAACUUUUGCUGAGUUAUUUUGGUCUUAUGAACUGUUUCCAACGUUUUAGCUCUAGUGUUUUAGUGCUUCAACUAUGUAGAGCCUUCAUGCAGAGUGGAGUUCAUGGAACAAAUGACUAAAAACUUAGAGUAAGUUUAUAUCCCAGGAAAUGAUUAAAAAUGCUCAUUCUAAAUUCUGUUUUUUAUAAACAGUGUGUGUACACAUUUUCAAAUUUUUUUUAAAUUGUUAAGUCUGAAUUUGUUAAAAUGAUAACAAAUUUUUUUCUCUCCAAUUAAAGAGAGAAUAUCGUUUCAUAAUAUCAUUCCGCAAAUUCCUGUAAAGACAUCACUGAUUUUAUAUUGACUAGGAGAGCUAAAUUUGUUCUUGGUUUUUAAGUCAUAUGCACUUACACACUUGGAUGUAUAUAGUGAUUUGGGAAACAUUUGUAAUUUUGAAAUAAAUUUGAAUUACAUACACAAAUUCUUCAUAUACAAAGGAUUCAAAGUCCUGACCCAUUUAAUUUUUAAUUGUUUCAAAUGAGUUUUAAAAACAUUACACUUUAAUCUUUUAGAAGAUUCUGGCAUAGUUACGAGUCUUUAAGUCUCUGUGAAGGUUGGAGACAGUGUAUGUGUGAAUAAAAUGUGCAAGGUCAUUAAACUUGCAUGAUUUAAAGAACCUUGGUAAGUUAUUCCGUCCUAUCAUCCUCCCCCUUCAUUCCACACAUAACUUUCUCCCCUACUCAUGACAUCUUUCCCCACCCCUAUCCAUUUAUUUUCUACAACAAAAAGAAUGAUAGUAACUGCCCCUGAUAGAUAUCUGAAAAAGAAAUGGACACUCACAGUCCAUGUAAUGUAUGAAAGACAAUCGUUCUCUUGUUCUCUUCUAUUGUGCCCCAUGCUUUCUCUUGUGAUGCAACCUUCAUUUCAACCCAGUCUCUCCUCACAUGUAAAUCCACUGGGCUUUGUAGAUAUGAAUAGCUGUGCCCUGUAGCAACUAGACAGAAAUGAAAGGAAUGUACAUUUAAGUCUGAAGUAUAGUAUUUUACUACAUGGUUGAAGUAGUCAGCUGUAGUUAAAUGUUGAAAAAUAUUGGGGCACUACUUUGAACACUGUAGUUAAUAAUUUUUGAAGUUGGUGAAUUUCUUAAAAUAUGUGUCCUCUAGUUUUGCUUUAACUUCUUUAUAUAUAACAAUUGGGUUAGUUAAUGAACACUAUUGGAGGUAAACUAGAUGUGUGUUCAUUACAAUAUUAAGUUUAUUAAUGAGUGCAAUGAGAAAUAGCAAAGCUACUCACUUUAAUCCCCAGUUUACUGAUUAAUAUUUAAUUUGAGUUUUAUUGCAUAAAAAACUGUUGAUGGGUGGUUUAGCUGAAGAUACAGAGACCCUUACAAAGGACUAGGCUAUGGUUGUAUCAAUUCAGUCAAUUCUGGUAGAGGAUUUUAAGUCACUGAAUUCUAAUCAAUUUAAUGUCAAAUAACCUUAAUUCUUGAUUUAUAAUUUUACAUAUCAUAUUUAUAUUCAAGUAUCAUAUUUUUUUUGGGAAAUACUCCUCAACUUGUCCACAGAAAAUUUGUGAUUUAUUCACCAAUCUUGUCUUUGUCAUAGUCGCCAACAAUAGUAUUGAUAUGCAUAUUUUCAUGAUCUUUCCUCCAACUAUGAGAUAAAAAGAUUGUUCCUUCCAUUAUUUUUCUUUGUUUUAAAUAUUCAUCAUCCUCUACUUUCCACUGCAAAUUAGAAUGCCUUAGAAAUAAGACUCACUCAAUUUAAUAUUUGUUGAUUAACAGAGUAGUGAUGUUUGAUAUUUUUAUCAAAACAAAUGGAUAAUCUUUUUCCUUAGUUAAUGUAGACAUAGACAACUUCUAUAUGUUUCAUAGUUAUAUUUUUAAGUGUGGUUAUUAAAUAUAAAAGUAUAUAGUGUUAGAUAACGUAAUCCAUGUAGAUUUUACUAAUCUAUAAGCAAACAGGGCUAUGAUUGGCAACAUUUUUCUUAGUGCUUGCAAAUAUCUUAGAAUUUCUUUUGGAUAUUUUUCUAGUAUCAUAUAAGAAGAAUGAUUGCUCACCUCUGUUGGUCAUCCUUAAAUAUAUGGAGACUAGACAGCAGCAGACAAUUUCUCCACAUCUGUUUACCUUUUCAUAUACAGCAGAGAUUUGUAUAUUGUGAAUUUAGAGUUUAUGUUGUAUACUUAUAAAUUCAUUAUUUACAUAAAUGAUGUGCAGCCAGUAUAUGACAUCAUGUACAACAACAUUUUCUUGUUUUAAAACAUGUGUUUUGAUUUAAGAAUUCCUGGAGAAAAAUACAACACAAAAUUAAUGCAAUAUUUUUAAGUAUAAAACUAUGUUAUAUAAUUUUGUGUUUGAAAAAAACGUUUUGUGCUGUUGCUGUAAAUUUACACUGAAUUAUUAUAAAAAAAAUUUAAAAUUUAGACCUGAAGAAGGAGAAUCCUCACUUUUGAAAAUAGAAGAAUGGAACUGUGAGAGGCUGAUAUUGAUCUAAGUAUUUGGAAGUGGUCAGUUUCAUUACCUAGAGGUGGUUUUAAGUAGAAGUGGUAAUCACAAUUGCAGUAGAUAUAAUAAGUUAAAAUUACUAAGUAGCUAAAAAUAAAGUAAUUAAAAAUGUAGUUGGAUUUUUUCUUAAAGGAAAUAAUAUCAUUUAUUCAUAUUCUUUUUUUAACCAGUUUUUCUUUUAAACUGCCCAAAUUUUCACACAUUCUUAUUUACUAAGAUUAGUAGUCCUUUGAGCAGUUGGGAGAAAAAAAAAAAACCCUGAUAUUCUGAUUUGGUGAAGGAAGUAGUCAGUUAAGCAUCUUUCCAUCCAAGAUAGAUCUGCAAAUGUUGAUUGCCAUAAGGUAUUUUUUCUUGCCUUGCUUUUUUUUUUUUUUCUUGGCUAAUAUAUCCCUGCAUUAACUCUGUAACUAAACCCUGUCAACUACAUUCUUUCCAGACAGUGACUCGGUUAUUCAUAAGACAUAUUAGCUAUCUACUCGUAGGCUGUCACUGAUUUGAAGACUAUGGGUUUCUCAGUCUUGCUAUACCAAUAUGCUAAAAACUUAGUGGCUUAAAACAACACUAAUUUUGAUUGCAGCAGUUUAGAAGCCAGAAUUUCCAAAAUGGGUUUGACUAGACUGAAAUCAGUGUGUUUGCAGAAUUGUGUUCCUUGUGAGGCUUUAGGGAGGAACCCAUUUCUUUUUUUCCAGCUUCUAGUGGCUGGCUGUGUUCCUUAGCUUGUGGCCCACAGCCAGCAAUGUCAUCACUCCAGCCUCUGCUUCUGUACUCGCAUCUUCUCCAAUUCUGACCUUCCUGCCUUUUUCUUUCCAUAAAAGGACCCUUGUGAUUAUAUUGGACUUUCCUAGAUAAUCUAGGAUCAUCUCCCAUUUAAUGAAUCUGAACUUCACCAUAACUGUAAAAAUCCCUUUUGCCAUGUCAGGUAAUAAUGUCACACAUUCUGAAGACUGAGGCAUGACUGUUUUCAGAUGUCAUCAUUUUGCCUGCCACAAGGACUUUGAUGUAGCCAGAAUCUGUCAACAUCCUGUAGGGUUUGAAAUAAAACCCCAGAUUAACAGUUCCCAGGGUUAUGAGACACCAGCACAUCAUGAUUACUUCUGAAGUGUGUCACAAAUAAUCUGUAACCAGAUUUUUUAAAAACAAUUUACUUCUUUUAAAAUAAAUUAUUGUAAAGGCAAAGUUAUUCCCAAAACUUACUCUCAUUCUGCUAGUGAUUUCUUGAAUGGAAGAAAAAGUGAGGGGAGAUAUCAUAAUAUUUUUAUACAAAAUACCUAUAUCACAAAUCUACAGCCAGUGUCUUUUGUGAAUGUAUUAUUAAUUAUAAAAGAUUGUAACUAUAAAAUUUGUGAUAAUGGGAAGUAUUCAUCUAUAUCUGGUAUCUAUAUGAGGAUAUUUUAUACUGUAAAUGUCAUAUGGAUCAGUAGGUUGAAUUUGAUACUUUUUUUUUUUGAAAAGGCAGAGUGGACAGUGAGAGAGAGAGAGACAGAGAGAAAGGUCUUCCUUUUCCGUUGGUUUACCUCCCCCCCCACCAAUGGCCGCUGCGGCCCGUGUACUGCGGUGAUCUGAAGCCAGGAGCCAGGUGCCUUCUCCUGGUCUCCUAUUCGGGUGCAGGGCCCAGGCACUUGGGCCAUCCUCCACUGCACUCCCGGGCCACAGCAGAGAGCUGGACUGGAAGGGGAGCAACCGGGACAUAAUCUGGUGCCCGACUGGGACUAGAACCUGGUGUGCCGGCACCGCAGGUGGAAGAUUAGCCUAGUGAGCCACGGCGCCAGCCAGAAUUUGAUACUUUCUUUACUCUUCUGUUUCAAAAGUUAAUGUACUGUGGGGACUGGUAUUGUGGCCCAGUGCAUUAAACUGCUGACACCUGACUGCUCCAUUUCUGAUCCAGUGUUCUGCAAAUGGGCCUAGGAAAGCAGUAGAUAAAGGCCCAUGUAAUUGAGUCUUUGCCAGUUGUGUGGGACAUCCAGAUGUGGAUGGGAGAUCUCUCUCAGUAUCUCUUUUGCCUUUAGAUAAAUAAAUAAGUUGAUGCACUGUGAAUAAUUAAUAUAGUCAAGAAGCUUAGGUAAAUACAAAAGGUAGUAUUGUAAAAGCAUUAUUUAAAAAUGUGAAAUGCUCAUAUAUUUAAAUAAUGUUGGAUAAAUAUAGUAGCGAUUAUAAUUUAUGGUGAUAUUGAUCAUCAUCUCCUUUGGGGAGAGCUAUAUAAUGAAAUGCAGGCUAAAUCACUUAAGACAAAUGCAAAUUCAAUUAACAUUUUCUUUCAAUACAUUUUACUUGUUAUUGUAGAAAUUAUGGUAGUUUUCAUCAUAAGUUGUCAAAAAUAGACAGUGAAUUUUGUACCUCUUUCCAGCAUCAAAAUUUCAGAAGUCAUUCCAUUGUUCAUAUUGUUAAAAGGUCUACAAAGUGGUCUACAUGUUACAUACAGUCCCUGUCUAAAUGGCAAUUAUAUUCUUCAGAGAAGCAGAAAAAGUAAUCCUGAAGUUCCCAUCAGACCACAAAAACUCUGAACAGCCAAAACAAAAGAACAAGAGAAGAGGCAGAAAAAGCCACACUCCCAACAUGGUACAAUUUACUGAGGAUCAACUGAGGGAGGAUUAUACACAUGGCUGGGUACAGUUUAUUCAUUUGUUCUUUUGCUUUGUAGGUAACAAAUAGUGGUGUUCUGUAACAUCUUAAGUGAUUAGCAAAUGUGAGACCAAAAUGAGUCUUUUAACAACAGUUUAGAAAUAGCUUGAUUUUCUUAAUCACACUGACAUUUUGGGGAAUGUAUUCUGAUACCAAAUUCAUAUGCAUAUCUCUUCCAGUCUUUUCCUUUGGAAUUCCACUCUGUUGGGUACAUGAAACAGGGACAAAGAUUUAGGUUUGACAAAUGCAUUUAAAUCAUUAUUUUUUGACAUGCAAAAAUUCCUUUAAAGUAUGCCUGCAACCUGGAAUGUUAUAAUAUUAUUUUAGACAUCAUAAUAAUGAGACCAUAUGUUAAGUGUACUUUUUUUUUUUUUUUUUUUUUUUUUUUUGACAGGCAGAGUGGACAGUGAGAGAGAGAGACAGAGAGAAAGAUCUUCUUUUGCCAUUGGUUCACCCUCCAAUGGCCGCCGCGGCCAACGCGCUGUGGCCGGCGCACCACGGUGAUCUGAUGGCAGGAGCCAGGUACUUCUCCUGGUCUCCCAUGGGGUGCAGGGCCCAAGCACUUGGGCCAUCCUCCACUGCACUCCGUGGCCACAGCAGAGAGCUGGCCUGGAAGAGGGGCAAGCGGGACAGAAUCCGGCGCCCUGACCGGGACUAGAACCCUGUGUGCCGGCGCGGCAAGGUGGAGGAUUAGCCUGGUGAGCCGCGGCGCCGGCCAAGUGUACCUUUUUAAUGAUGAAUUCUUUUGAAUAUUUCAAUUACAAAUAUCUCUGAAGCUAUUGGAUUUGAUUCUGAAACAAGAGUUUAAUAUCACAUUCUAGAUAUUGAAUUCUACUUUACAACAAAUGCUAGUGUGAGUCAAUUCCACUCAGUAACCAUUUCUGAAGAAUUUAAUUUUUCUAUGAAAGGUUUCAGAUAAACAUGUGAGAAUAAUUAAGACACAGUAGAGGAUUUUGGCAGUUUAAAAGCCAGUGUUGAAGAAAUAAAUGUCUGUAACUUGCAUAAACGUUGUAGAAUGCUUAAACACAUGUUGAAUAUGCCCAAAUAUGCAUAUUUUAUGAAGUUAGAUUUUAGUGAACUAUGUAAGUAACAGAAAAUUAGCUUUGUACUUGAUUUGGCAUAUUUCUGGAAUAUAUAUUAAAAUAUUUAAACAUUUUCAUACUACUUGCAUAACUCAGAACUUUACCAUAAUGCUUAUUUUGUUAAUUCUUUCUCCCAAAUAUGAUUAAGUGUGUACACAUGAAAGACAAGAUAUUCGGGAUGACUCUCUUGACUUUUGAAGAAAGCUGCGAAUGAUUUUUUCAGAAACAUAUUCCAUGCUAAAAAUAGUAUCUAGUAACAGAAAUGGUGGGCAUCUUUACGUAUUUCUUGGAAAAUGUUAUUAUUAGUCCUUCUUAGAUUAAUAGUCACAUUUUUGCAUGAGAAAGAAAAGCUCUUUGUGAGAGAGAUUGGCAGAAUUAAGUGGAAACAAGAAGGAGUGCAUUAUUAUGCCUUUUAAAAAAGUUGCUACCUAUUAAACUCUUUCCUUUGUAUGGACUUUCUUCCCUGAUAAAAUGCAAUGCUCUAUUAACUCUUCAUGCCACCUUUCAAAUAUAUAGAAAUACAUGGAUUAGCCUUAUUAAUUAUAAGUCCCAUUCAAUAUUUGAAUCUCUGUUUUAACUAACUGAAAAUAAUAUUUUUUCAAUGGUAAGAUUACCAGAUUUUAUAAAAACUAUUGAUGCACAUGCAGUCUAAAUCUGCUGAGUUUUUCUUUUUUUGUAAAAUGGAAGAUAAGUUAGACUUCCACAUAAUCUGGUAAUUUUGGACAUUCACUUCUCUUUGAUGAAGUUUGAAAUAAUGAAGUUACUAUAGUCCUGUUAUAUACGAUGCACACAAAUCCUCUUUUGACUCCUCUUUGGAUUUUAUCUGAAUUUCAAACUCAUUUUCAUAUCUUGCAGGGCACCAAAUUUCAUUUGUUCAGUAUUUCUCUGAAGCAUUAUCCUCAAGCACAUCUCCCCAUCCUCAAUUCUCCAUGCUAUAAUAUUUGCCUGUUUUGUCCUUUGUUUUUUUUUUUUCAAAUCUCUGAGUUUUUAUACUUGCACUUUUUUAUUUUUGAACACUCUUUGUGUCUUGGGAUGAUUCCUUACAUCUAGUAAGAAUUCAUUCUCAACUCACUUCUCCAAGAAGGUUUUUCCUAAUGUUUCCUAUUAAACCUUCUCCCCCAGAAACUCUCUUAUCAUAUUAUAAACUUACUUUUCCAAGAAGGCUUUCCCUAAUGUUUCCUAUUAAACCCAAAUGUUCUCACCCCCAGAAACUCUCUUAUCAUAUUAUUCUGUUUUCUUCAUAGCCAUGCAUACCAAUAUAGUGCAAGUUUUAUUCCUUCAGGAAUAAUUCAUUUUAAAAUAAAGGACAAUUUUAAAUUGACAGACAAAAGCUACACAUGUAAUAUAUUAUGUAAAUAUUCAUAUCCAAGUUGUCUGCCUUGGAACAUGUUUUCAGUAGGAGGCAAACGUAUCUAUGAACCCAUAGAUUCAUGACUUUCAGCUGCUUUAUAGAUUAGUAGAUUUAAAGAUGAAUACAUUUUAUUAUAGUUGGAAUUGUUGGUGUGUAGUGUAUAAUUUAAGAUCAAGUGUCUAUAAUUUUUGUGAACAAAUAGGAAAUUCUAAAAAUUAAAGUUACAAAUUUUAUAACCAAUGUGAAAAUGAGUCAGAAUUAUUUAGAUUUGGAUGAGGAUAAGAUACCUAUUAAAGGAGUAGUUCUUGCAUCAUUAUGCCUGGCAGGAUAGACUUAAAGUAGUCUUUUUCCUGGGCUGGUAUCAUUUUGCUCGUUUGUGAAAUUGAGCCUUCUAUCUCAGUAAGUACUAACAAGACCUCGCUAAGGCAGACUUACAGGAGUAGUGGAGCUCAGUGUAGAAAGUUUUCUUUACAGAUCAAAUCUAGAGCCUUUUUACUUUCUGUGUAACCCAUGAAUAGUUACUUGAGCUCUCUGAAUAUCAAUAGGACAGUCAGUUUUUCUAACACAAUUUAUUGCAAAGUGCAGUGUUUCUCACUGAUUUGAAAUGCUGCAUUUAUCAUUUUUAAUUUCUAUAUAGACAUAAAUCAUUUUCUGAUUCUCUAUUCUGUUUCAAUACUCUGAGAUUUUGGCCAGUAUCACAAUAUUUAACUUUUCAAGAAUUUAAUAGCUCUUCAUGAAUAGCAAUUCUUCUGAUUUGAUGAUUGUAUCAAAUCCUUAUAUUCCUCUUCCAAGACUGUCAAAAAGUAAUUUUGAUUGCAACUGCAUUAAAUUUAUAGAUUUCCAGAUAGCUAGCUGAUGUAUCACAGUAUUGUCACUAACAUUUUUUACUCUAUUUAUUCAAUAAAAUUUAUACACUUAUGUAUUUCUUAUUUAUACACUUACUUAUGCAUGUCAUUAAAUUUAUUGCUAGGAAGUUUAUUACUUUGUAUAUUAUUGUGAAUAAUACUUUAAUCCCUUAAUUUUGAAAUAGAAGCCUAUUUUUUUAUAUUUAUCUUCUUUCUGUCAAGAUAUUGAGCAAUCUUGUUAAUUCUAAUGGUUAACUUGAAUCUCUAGGAUUUCCUAUGCAGGUAAUCAUAACAUCUGCAAAUAAUAGUUUGGUUUUUCAUGUUCAGUAUUCAUUUACUUAUAUUUACUUUGAUGAGGAAUUGAACUUUAUGUGUUAUGUAUAAAAUAAGAGUGUUGCCUGCCUUAAAGGACUGUGUUAAUCAUUCAUAAAAAUUAGAGGAAAACACCUGAUAGAUAAUAAUAAUUUAACAAGUGUAGCUACAUAGUUUGUUUGUCUGUUUGUUUAUUUGAAAGAUUUACAGAGAGAGGGAGAGACAAAGGUCUUCCAUCCACUGGUUCACUCCUCAAAUGACCUCAACAACCACAGCUGAGCCAAUGCAAAGCCAGGAGCCAGGAGCUUCUGGGUCGAACGUGUAGGGGCCCAAGGACUUGGGACAUCUUCUACUCAUUUCACAGGCCAUAGCAGAGAGCUGGAUCAGAAAUGGUGCGUCCGGGACUCCAUCCGGUGCCCAUGUGGGAGGCUAGCACUACAGGCUGGGUUUAACCCACUGUACCACAGUGCCAGCCCCAGCUACAUAAUAUUUUUAAUAUUGUGUAUAACAUGUAAAUUUACUAGGAAUAUAAAUUAAAAAAAUCUAUUUGAGUAUUUUACAUUCAGAUAUAUUAUUAUCAGAAAGUUUCACAAGCACACUCUGGAAGGAAAUCAUCGCUUGUUCCCCUCAUAAUUUUUGUUAUUGUUUAACUCUGCUUUAGAACAUGAUAAAAGGGACUGAAACAUUUCUCAGAUGAGCAAUAAAUAACCUUUAACUAGUUCUGCACUAAAGGUUAUGCCCACUCUGGUUUUCAAAACAGCAGGAACGCAAACAGCAAAAGUGCCUUCAUGGAGCUGGCAUUGGGUGCAAUGGUUGGAAUCCCUCUUUACCUAACUGCAAAUCAGGUUAAAGUGACUGUGUUCACUCCACUAUGAAUUUCAGCUUUUUUCUAACGUGUACCAUGGGAGGCAGCAGGUGAUGGUUUACAUGUUUGGAUCCUUUGCACACACCUGGGAGAGCUGGUGAAGGUUACCUGAAUUGUGUCCCCAAUUCCAGAAGAAAAUAAGGAGUAACUGUAGAGUUAGCUUUAUAAAUGUAAAACAGGUGCAAACAUAUGUUUAUAAAAUAAUGUGAUGUACAGUGCUAAAGUUAUGUUUAGAAUAUUAUGUAAGCAGAGCUAAUGAUUGAGUCAGUCCCCCAAUAAACCAGGGAAUGAUGUAAGUGAAAUGUCAGAGUGGCUUCCUGCAGAAGUUGAUAGUUAUGAACUGUUAAAGGAAAAAUAAGAUAAUCAAAUAAAGAGGAGGAGGAGGUAUUCCAAUUAUUGUGAACAAUAGAAGAAAGGGUAUGGAGGAAAGAAACGGAGUGAUGUGGGCAAAAGGCUAUAUACUACGUGCUGUGUGGUGUUUUCUACAUUUAAAGAACAAGGUGGCUAAUUCCUAGAGAAUCAAGCCUAAGAGGUAUGCACUAACCUGAAUAUGGAAUGUUAUGCAACUUAUAAAGGCAUUUGAAUACUCAAUAGAGAAUAGAGUUUUUUGCAGGAGGAGUGGCAUAUUUAGGCAAAGUGGGUCACAGAAUGAGUUUCUCCUAAAAACCUAUUUUUGACCAACUUUCCUGGUUUUCUUAAGUUUUUACACAAAGUAUUUCAGUAGCACAGGUUAAAAGGCUUAUCGCUUCUUAGAGCCUUCUGUUUAUAAAUUAAAGUAGAAUACAAGUUAUUAUAACUCUUAGAACUAAAAUUUGUCUACAUAAACCACCAUAAGAUUUUGGAACCAGGUUUAUGCCUUAUUGAGAACUCUACAUUUGAUGUGCACUACUCCAGCUUGCAAGCAGGUGAAAGUUAAAGAAAAUGCAUGUAUCUUACAGACCUUGAGUGGACCGCUGUGUUUAGCAAUCUCCUUAUACUCUCUAGGACAGAUUUGCUUAGGAGUAUUUCUUACGGGGUGAAUUAUACAUAAAUACCACCAAGCAUGGGCACCAUACAUAUCUUCUUUUACCUUCUUUUUGCUUUUUAUGCAGUGUUUAUGGAUCUAAUUGUUGACAACCUUAUGGUUAUGUAUCUUAUGCUGAGAUCGUCUGGUUUGCUUUGUAGUCAGUCUGUAUUUUUAUGUGAGCCUGGGAUCUCUGGGCUUACUCUAGUGUCUGAACUUGUAAUCUCUGAGUUACUCAGACUUUGACCCACUCUUAUCUGUCCUUACUCCUGUGCUUAUAUUUGUAACCUUGAAUUUGCCUGGCUUCCAUUCUACGCUUGUGUCUAGUGUGCUGUGCUUAUCUUCAUUCUUUGUCUGCUCUCACUAAUGAUGAAGUAUUCACAUUGUUCUGAUUGUCUUAAUGUGCUAAAGCCUCUUUUGUUUGAGAAAGGUUUCGCCAUUCAGUUAUGUUUUUGACAUUGCUAUUUUAAGAUUUAUAGACAAAUAUGGUUUGCAUCUUAGUGUGUCAACGCUAACACUUUCUCCCCAUGUGUCAGCAAAAAGGCAAAGAAUAUUCUAUAAAACUGUAGUAUAUGAAAUGUUAGUAGAAUGUUGAGAAAAUGAGUCUUAGAAGAAAUGAAAUCUUGGAGAGACUGACACAAUGUCAUGUAGCUACUUAGUAACCAUUUCUCUUAUUCAUUUUUUUUUUAAUCUUCAGGGGAUAUUAGUUCAUUUCUCCUAGAGAAAGAAUCACCUAUCAGUGUAGCUGCUUGAAUCUUUUAAUUGCUGUAAUAUAUUUUCUUAUCAUAUUUGCUGGAUGUCAGCUAUGGCUCCUUGGAGAUAAAGUGACUUUAUAAAUUUUCUUUUAUUUGUGGAAUGAUUUCAUAUUUACUUCUUUCAAUAUAUGAUUUAUAACUGAUAUAAACUUUUUAGUUUCUAAAUGAAUUGAUUCAGUUUGCUUUUAAGAUCUUACUGAUUGCUUUUCCUGAGGUUUUUAAAAUUUACUAUGGCCUUUUUAUAUUGCAGUGUUGGCUAGAAAUCUAUUCUACAGAUUGCAUGUACUAAUUUAUUCAUCAUUUUCUACUUUUCUCUAUAUUACACAUUAUGAUUGGCAAAGUUUUAUGUCACAUUUCUCUGUUUUUAUGAUUAUAUUUUCAUGGUCAUUAUUUUUAAAAUUAUUAUUUUAUAAAAAUUACUUUGCCAUCUCAGACCAUACAUAAGAUUUCCUGUUCAUUGAGAAAGAUUCUCAAUAGAGAAUCAUAAAUAGGCCAUGGCACACCUGGGAACUUUCAGGAACAUACCAAAAGAUCAUUAUUUCCUUUCUGUCACCAAGAUAUUUAUUAUAAAUUGAUAAAGUGCUAAGACAGAUUACCAUUUAUGAAAGUAUAAAUGAUAAGAAUAGGAACUUUGAUGUCAGAGAGCCAUGUAAUUAAGUCCUGUGUCUGAAGCUCUGGCCAGGUAUAUUUUUAAAGAUUGUUUUAUCUAAGUAAUAUUAGCAUUUAUCUUAAUGGUUCACAUUAGAAAUUGGAAAAUAUAUGGAAAAUAUUUCAUCAUAAGCCUGGAAUUUGUAUGUGCUCAGUAUGGCACAUUAAGGGAAAAUGGAGGCUAUUUUCAUUCUUAAAUCUAGCCAUGCAACUCAAGAUCACUUUAGAGAACUUGGUGAUUAUUAAAGUGAACAUAUCUAUGUGUUUAUGUUUAUGGGCAAGAUCUCUUGAUUUCAUAGUUCCAAGUUGUGGUAAAAAGCAGAGUAGUUAGUUUUUUUUUCCAUACCCCC